rnacentral:rRNA from 1 species
GACGAACGCUGGCGGCGUGCUUAACACAUGCAAGUCGAACGGAAAGGCCCUGCUUUUGUGGGGUGCUCGAGUGGCGAACGGGUGAGUAACACGUGAGUAACCUGCCCUUGACUUUGGGAUAACUUCAGGAAACUGGGGCUAAUACCGGAUAGGAGCUCCUGCUGCAUGGUGGGGGUUGGAAAUUUUCGGCGGUUGGGGAUGGACUCGCGGGUUAUCACCUUGUUGGUGGGGUAGUGGCUUACCAAGGCUUUGACGGGUAGCCGGCCUGAGAGGGUGACCGGCCACAUUGGGACUGAGAUACGGCCCAGACUCCUACGGGAGGCAGCAGUGGGGAAUAUUGCACAAUGGGCGGAAGCCUGAUGCAGCAACGCCGCGUGCGGGAUGACGGCCUUCGGGUUGUAAACCGCUUUCGCCUGUGACGAAGCGUGAGUGACGGUAAUGGGUAAAGAAGCACCGGCUAACUACGUG